rnacentral:rRNA from 1 species
UCCCAAACCCAAUGUGAACGUUACCAAACUGUUGCCUCGGCGGGGUCACGCCCCGGGUGCGUCGCAGCCCCGGAACCAGGCGCCCGCCGGAGGAACCAACCAAACUCUUUCUGUAGUCCCCUCGCGGACGUAUUUCUUACAGCUCUGAGCAAAAAUUCAAAAUGAAUCAAAACUUUCAACAACGGAUCUCUUGGUUCUGGCAUCGAUGAAGAACGCAGCGAAAUGCGAUAAGUAAUGUGAAUUGCAGAAUUCAGUGAAUCAUCGAAUCUUUGAACGCACAUUGCGCCCGCCAGUAUUCUGGCGGGCAUGCCUGUCCGAGCGUCAUUUCAACCCUCGAACCCCUCCGGGGGAUCGGCGUUGGGGAUCGGGACCCCUCACACGGGUGCCGGCCCCGAAAUACAGUGGCGGUCUCGCCGCAGCCUCUCCUGCGCAGUAGUUUGCACAACUCGCACCGGGAGCGCGGCGCGUCCACGUCCGUAAAACACCCAACUUUCUGAAAUGUUGACCUCGGAUCAGGUAGGAAUACCCGCUGAACUUAAGCAUAUCAA